GCCCGGUUAGCUCAGUCGGUAGAGCAUCUGACUUUUAAUCAGAGGGUCGCGGUUCAAGUCCCUCAUCGGGCG
rnacentral:tRNA from 1 species